rnacentral:rRNA from 1 species
UACAGAGGAUGUAAGCGUUAUCCGGAAUGAUUGGGCGUAAAGCGUCUGUAGGUGGCUUUUUAAGUCCGCCGUCAAAUCCCAGGGCUCAACUCUGGACAGGCGGUGGAAACUACCAAGCUGGAGUACGGUAGGGGCAGAGGGAAUUUCCGGUGGAGCGGUGAAAUGCGUAGAGAUCCGGAAGAACACCGGUGGCGAAGGCGGUCUGCUGGGCCAAGACUGACGCUGAGGCGCGACAGCGUGGGGAGCAAACAGG